rnacentral:rRNA from 1 species
GACGAACGCUGGCGGCGUGCUUAACACAUGCAAGUCGAACGGAAAGGCCCUGCUUUUGUGGGGUGCUCGAGUGGCGAACGGGUGAGUAACACGUGAGUAACCUGCCCUUGACUUUGGGAUAACUUCAGGAAACUGGGGCUAAUACCGGAUAGGAGCUCCUGCUGCAUGGUGGGGGUUGGAAAGUUUCGGCGGUUGGGGAUGGACUCGCGGCUUAUCAGCUUGUUGGUGGGGUAGUGGCUUACCAAGGCUUUGACGGGUAGCCCGCCUGGGAGGGUGGCCGGGCACAUGGGGCCUGAGAUACGGCCCAGACUCCAACGGGAGGCAGUAGUGGGGAAUAUUGCACAGUGGGCGGGAGCCUGAUGCAGCAACGCCGCGUGCGGGAUGACGGCCUUCGGGUUGUAAACCGCUUUCGCCUGUGACGAAGCGUGAGUGACGGUAAUGGGUAAAGAAGCACCGGCUAACUACGUG